rnacentral:rRNA from 1 species
CACUUCUAAGGAAGGCAGCAGGCGCGCAAAUUACCCAAUCCUGACUCAGGGAGGUAGUGACAAGAAAUAACAAUAAACCGGCUUAUGCCGGUUUAAUUGGAAUGAGUACAAUUUAAACAUCUUAACGAGGAACAAUUGGAGGGCAAGUCUGGUGCCAGCAGCCGCGGUAAUUCCAGCUCCAAUAGCGUAUACUAAAGUUGUUGCAGUUAAAAAGCUCGUAGUUGGAUUUCUGUGGGGACGGAGCGGCCGGCCGCAACACGCGGUUCGAGCUAGCGCUUUCCCUACAUCCUGCCGCGAACCGUGCUACCAUUAGUUUGGUGGCGCCGGGGAUCGGCCCGAUUACUUUGAGAAAAAUAGAGUGUUCAAAGCAGGCCACACGCCUUGAAUAAGUUAGCAUGGAAUAAUAACUAAGGACUUCGGUUCUAUUUUGUUGGUGUUCGGGACUGAAGUAAUGAUUGAUAGGGACAGUUGGGGCGGUCUGUAUUCCAAAGCGAGAGGUGAAAUUCUUAGACCUUCGGAAGACAAACAGCUGCGAAAGCGUUCCGCAAGGAUGUUCCCUUUGAUCAAGAACGAAAGUUGGGGGAUCGAAGACGAUCAGAUACCGUCGUAGUCUCAACUAUAAACUAUACCAGCUAGGGAUCGGCCAACGUUAUUCUAUACCGACUUGGUCGGCACCUUAUGAGAAAUCAAAGCAUCUGGGUUCCGGGGGGAGUAUGGUCGCAAGGCUGAAACUUAAAGGAAUUGACGGAAGGGCACCACCAGCCGUGGAGCCUGUGGCUUAAUUUGACUCAACACGGGAAAACUUACCAGGUCCAGACAUAGUAAGGAUUGACAGAUUGAUAGCUCUUUCUUGAUUCUGUGGGUGGUGGUGCAUGGCCGUUCUUAGUUGGUGGAGUGAUUUGUCUGGUUAAUUCCGUUAACGAACGAGACCCCAGCCUGCUAAAUAGCGCGUGUGAGCUUUGCUCGCAGCGAGCUUCUUAGAGGGACUAUGAUGCGCGAUAGCACAUGGAAGUUUGGGGCAAUAACAGGUCUGUGAUGCCCUUAGAUGUUCUGGGCCGCACACGGGCUACACUGGCGCCUGCAACGAGCAUAUCAGCUGGCCCGAGAGGGUCUUGGCUAAUCUUUUGAACCGGCGCCGUGCUUGGGAUUGACCUUUGCAAUUGUUGGUCAUGCAACGAGGAAUGCCUUGUAAACGCGAGUCAUCAGCUCGCAUUGAAUACGUCCCUGCCCUUUGUACACACCGCCCGUCGCUCCUACCGAUGAAUGUUCCGAUGAAAUUUUCGGAGAGUGCCUGUGAACUUGGCUCUGCCUUGCGAACGGGAAGCUCAAAGUCACUUAAAUCUGAACAUUUCGAGG